GUGAGACUCUUUCUGCAGCAUCAAAUCCAUACUAAUUCGAAGGUUGCAAUUAUACACAGAGAGUGAAAGAAAAUCAUAUUUAUGUGCCAGGCUCAGAUUGGAAAUAAAUGCAGAGAAUACAACUCAGUCAUAAACAAUAAUUAGACAGAAAAGAUUUGUUUUCAUUUUUAUCAUUUAUCCUUUUUUCUUUCCUCCAAGAGAUGAGAGUAGGCUAAGGAUUUAUCAAAACGAUGAACUAUCUAAUAGUAACUUUUGUGGCAAAUUCAAUGUGCCGCCCCAACUCGACAUCAAAGAAACAUAAACACAGCAAGCAAUGGAAAAAAUGUACACCAUGAAAAAUAAAUGUUUGACUAGGGCUGAGCAGAAUUCGGUUCA
rnacentral:misc_RNA from 1 species